rnacentral:misc_RNA from 1 species
GUUGUAAAAUGUAUUAUACAUACAAUUUAUUUUUCUUCUUUUCUCUCCAAGUCUUUCCUUUCCCUCUAUUUCUGGCUACCUAAACACCUUGGUUAAGCCAUCAGAAUCGUGAGGCUUAACACUCAUGUACUUGAUUUCAUGAGGCUUGUUAUAGACACUAUUUCAGCAACUUAAAUUGAUUGCAUGGGUUGGCUGUGCAAGAAACCAUUAUGUGUUCAUAUGAUUUUACCAUGUCAGAGAACCACCCAAAGCUAUGGCAGAUCUACUGUCAUUUUUAUGUUAUUUAAUUCUAUUAUUUUGGGAAGAUGGUGGGAUUUUAUUUUGGGAACUGUGUAAUAACUGUUUGAGUUCAAUGCUCAGCACCAUUUAAGCUUGAAAAAAAUGAUAGUUGAGAGGAAAGUUUAGCUAUCACUGCUAUAUCUUGCUUUAGUGGUUUCUUCAACCAUGUAGAUGCAUGUUAGGGUAUUUCUCCUCACUGUAAAAC